AGAGUUUGAUCCUGGCUCAGGAUGAACGCUAGCGACAGGCUUAACACAUGCAAGUCGAGGGGCAGCGGGGCGGCAGGCUUGCCUGCCGUUGCCGGCGACCGGCGCACGGGUGAGUAACACGUAUGCAACCUGCCCGUGGCAGGGGGAUAAGCGGGGGAAACCCCGUCUAAUACCGCGUAACGCGGCCUAGGGACAUCCCAAGGCCGCCAAAGGGAGCAAUCCCGGCCACGGAUGGGCAUGCGGCGCAUUAGCUAGUCGGCGGGGUAACGGCCCACCGAGGCGACGAUGCGUAGGGGUUCUGAGAGGAAGGCCCCCCACACUGGUACUGAGACACGGACCAGACUCCUACGGGAGGCAGCAGUGAGGAAUAUUGGUCAAUGGGCGCGAGCCUGAACCAGCCAAGUCGCGUGAGGGAGGACGGCCCUACGGGUUGUAAACCUCUUUUGCCGGGGAGCAACGGGCGUCACGUGUGGCGCCACUGAGAGUACCCGGAGAAAAAGCAUCGGCUAACUCCGUGCCAGCAGCCGCGGUAAUACGGAGGAUGCGAGCGUUAUCCGGAUUUAUUGGGUUUAAAGGGUGCGUAGGCGGAUCGUUAAAUCAGUGGUCAAAUUGAGGGGCUCAACCCCUUCCCGCCAUUGAAACUGGCGAUCUUGAGUGGA
rnacentral:rRNA from 1 species